GUGCUUGCUUCGGCAGCACAUACACGAAAAUGGGAACGAUACAGAGAAGAUUAGCAUGGCCC
rnacentral:snRNA from 1 species